rnacentral:misc_RNA from 1 species
AAGCGCUGUCUGUACACUGCAGCCCCUGUCUCCGUCUCGCUCUCUUCACCCCUGCUCUUCUCCUCGUCCACCAUUCAAGCUCUCACUACGCUAUCUUUUCCAUCUCCUUAACGCCGUCGCCACACGCACACGCACAAAGAUGCCCGCCUGCCUCGCCUACUACACCGGCGCGAUGUGCUUCACGAUCAUCCACUUCUUCGCCUGGGCCUUCGCCUUCGUGGCCACCCCUACCGCGCAGUUCCAGACACCCGGGCACGGCUGCUACACCAUGUGGGGCUACCGCCAGUUCUGCGGCAACGUGCCGUACGACCUCACCGGGGACGCCGCCUUUGGCUGUGCGCGCCGCACCUCCACGAUGCGUUGCGGUGCUGCCUUCGGCGUCAUGGCGUCCGUGUGCGGCUUCGCCGGCCUCGUAUCCGCCAUCGUGCUCAACACACAGAUUCAGUUCCCCGUCAUCGUCCCCUUCGUGCUCGCCGCCGUCUGCAUCCCAUGCACCAUGAUCUCCUGGGCCUGCGUCGCCAGCGUCUACAACUUGACCAUGUGCGGCGACCGCUUUGGCAGCAAGUACCCCUACACCGCCGGCUUCGCGCUGAUGGUCGCGUCCUGGGGCCUGGAGCUCAUUGCCGUGGUCAUACUCGCCUGCACUACCUGGACGCGCCCGCCGAAGGAGGAGGAGAACGCCGCUGAUGCCAAACACUAGGGAGAUUCAAAGAAGCUACGCUACACGUAAAACGCAACAGAACUGGAGUCAGCGUAUAGACCAUGAUGGCGUAGGGGUGCGGAAGUGUGGGUGACAUACGCGCACCAGCGCUUCCUCUCUCCACCCGUCACGUCCCCCCGGCCCCCCUCCCCUCCCUUCCUUUUCCUUUGCCUCCCGUUGCUUUCUGUUUGUUUGUCUCCUUCGUUGAUCUCCUAACGUGUGGGCAUGUGUGCGUGUGCGCGUGCGCCUCUUAGCGCUUCGUUCCUCUUUGUUUUUUGCUCGUGCUCCAACAGGUCUUUACCUCAUCCCCUCCUCUCUCCCCCUCUUCCCGCCCGCCCUCUCCCCCCCCAGCCUCUUCUUCGCCGCUGCCCUCCACCACACGCAAUCGACGAGGCCAUCAGCGAGCCCCUCUCUCCCUCCCUCUGCUUUCCCUUUUUACGUUUUUUCUUUUUGGUUUGUUGUCCCCCUCGCCGCAACCGUUUAUCUCAUGCGCGCUGUCUGCGGAGUGCUUCUCGCCCGGUCUCCCUUUCUUUUUCUGUUUAUCGCGGGCAGCCCGAGCUGUGCCCGGGGUGUGUGUAAGCCCGCACACCCAGAGACACUGGGGGGAGAAGAGACCCCAGAAAGGGAAGGCUCGAACAACGGAGAUGGAGGGGCUGGGUAGUGCACGGCGAUGUGCCGAGUCACGGGGGCAGCGGCGGCCCCCUUAAUGCGAGCGAGCGAGGGAGAACUGCACUAGAGAGAGGUGGAAAGCCGGAAAGGCAUACGAAAAGAGUGGAAAGAGCUACACAGCGUCGCUUGAUGUGCUUGUGCAUGGGUUGUUGUUUGUGGGGUGCUCGACUAAGCACACACACUCACGCACACUCACAGCUUCACCAGCAAAACGAAAAGGCUCAAGUGGGAAAAGGGGGAGUUUGCGGAGACAUGCACCACGUGAUCAUGUCACCAACGCUUCCACAAUUCGUUGUCCCAUGUCGUAUUUCUCUUUAUCUCCCCCCCCCCACCUCUCGCUCCCUCCACGUGAGCGGCAAUGGGGGCUGUCGUCGGCCUCUCUCUCGUUUAUGCUGAGUGUUUCACGCAGAGGUAGACAUGCACGCAUACACACACACAUGCGCGCACAAGCGCUUGGUGCGUUAUCAGUCUGAUCUUUUUGCUUGCCUCUCUCUGUCCCUCCCUCUCCUCCUCCUCCUCGUACGGUUUAUUCUCUAUCUCUAG